GCCCAUGGCUCAAUGGUAGAGCACUGGCUUUGCAUGCAAAAGGUCUCCAAGUUCAAUCCCCAGCAUCUCCA